rnacentral:tRNA from 1 species
GGAAGGAUGAUAUGUGGCUAAGGCACUUAACUGGAACUCAAGAGACUUGGGUUCAGUUCCCAGUUCUACCA